rnacentral:rRNA from 1 species
CAGCAGCCGCGGUAAUACGUAGGUGGCAGGCGUUGUCCGGAAUUAUUGGGCGUAAAGGGCUCGCAGGCGGUUUCUUAAGUCUGAUGUGAAAGCCCCCGGCUCAACCGGGGAGGGUCAUUGGAAACUGGGAAACUUGAGUGCAGAAGAGGAGAGUGGAAUUCCACGUGUAGCGGUGAAAUGCGUAGAGAUGUGGAGGAACACCAGUGGCGAAGGCGACUCUCUGGUCUGUAACUGACGCUGAGGAGCGAAAGCGUGGGGAGCGAACAGGAUUAGAGACCCCAGUAGUCCCUGUCUCUUAUAU